AUAAUACUCCCCCCGUCCGGAAAUACUUGCCAUCAAAAUGAAUAAAAGGGGAUGUAUCUAGCCGUAUUUUAGUUCUAGAUGCAACAUUUUUGUCCAUUUUGAUGACAAGUAUUUUCGGACGGUGGGAGUAGCAG
rfam:Triticum aestivum genome assembly, contig: Triticum_aestivum_CS42_TGACv1_scaffold_513668_6BS